UAUCUCCUAGUAGGUGGGUAUAGGGGGUUCUCCUAGUAGGUGGGUAUAGGGAGUUCUCCUAGUAGGUGGGUAUAGAGGGGUUCUCCUAGUAGGUGGGUAUAGGGAGUUCUCCUAGUAGGUGGGUAUAGGGGGUUCUCCUAG